rnacentral:rRNA from 1 species
UACGUAGGGUGCGAGCGUUGCCCGGAUUUAUUGGGCGUAAAGGGCGCGUAGGCGGCCACGCACGUCCGUUGUGAAAUUGCCCGGCUCAACUGGGCGGGGUCAGCGGAUACGGUGUGGCUCGAGCAAGCUAGGGGGCAAUGGAAUUCCCGGUGUAGUGGUGGAAUGCGUAGAUAUCGGGAGGAACACCAGUGGCGAAGGCGGUUGCCUGGAGCUUUGCUGACGCUGAGGCGCGAAAGCGUGGGGAGCAAACAGG